UGGUAUAUUUAAGGGCAUGUUGCAGCAUUAAUGUUUACGCAUAAUGUUUUCCAAAGUAAUUUAUGCUGAACUGCCACUGACUUACUUAACAUUUAUAGGUCAACCACCUGCAGAAAGGGCAUGUAGGUAGAUUAUUGUUGACUUUAUGGUUAUGGAAGCUAGCUAAUCAGUGAGCAUGCUGGGAUAUAUCUUGUUAUGCUUGAGUAGCUUUAACACCAGGCCUCUAAGAUUUCUGUGGGCACAGGGUAACAUGCCCAUUUCUCAUGACCAAAGCCCCUACUGAGAGAGGAACUGUCAUUGGAAAGGGAAAUUGUAUUACGAAAGAUAAUAGUUAUAUAGAGUUCUUCAUAUGGGCCAAAUCCAUCAUCUUAAUCAUCCCUUGGCAAACAUACAGAAUGUUGAACAUAAGAUGACCCAGUGGAUGAGGUGGAAAUGAACAAGAAGAAUUACCAGGCACUCACAAGUAUUGUACAGAUUUCUUCUCUCCUGAGAUUUUUUAGUUGAAAAUUAAUUUAUAUUAUGAACAUGUAACUUCUGUUCAAACCAAUGUGUAAAAGGGUAGCAUUUCUGAAUUUUUUUCUGAUUUGAGAUCAGCAUUUGCUUGUGUGCCUGCAAACAUGGUUUUGCCCUUCAGACUUUUCCAAAUAAAUAACACUUAAUAUUUAUGUUGGGGUUAGCCAGCCUUAAUAGCAGACAUGUCACACUCACAAGAUAAAUCCAAGCAAUAUGCUAUUUGAGCCAGCACUAUAGCAGUUUGUAUCCAACAUUUUAUGACCCAGGACCCACCUUCAGGUACAAAAUGUGCACCAGUUUUAUUUUUUUUAAAAAAAGCAAAUAAACAUAUAUGCACUUCUCUAUUUGUCUGUCUGUCUAUUUUCCACGUGGUAUUUGUACACUGCAAAUUUUAGAGAUGUAGAUGAGAGGGAGAGCUUUAGAAAUCUCUAACACAGAAUAAUUAGCAUCAUCUUCCUCUAAUAUUUCCAGAGGUGGUAAACCAUAACAGUCAAACCCUUACAGAAAAAGCAUAAAUAUGUAGUGUAAACAUCCUCUUAGUUUUUCUUCAUCUUUCCACAGCCCUCUCCUUUUUUUCUGCUUAAAAACAACAACAUGUACAUUUUGUGAUGCCUCUAGUCUGACCAAUCUUAAAUCAGGCUACACUCCAUAUAUAUAUCCUGACCUACCCAUUUGAAACUAGUUCACUGAAGUAUUUGGGCAGUCUCUCUUACUUUUGGAUUAGUUUUGCCUUGAGCUAGCAGGCAGGGAGCUGCAAAACACAAAUGAGUGAAUGAUUUCAUUUAAUACAUUCAAAUCACCUCAGUCAACAAGUAUUUUCAUGAACACAUUUAAAAAGAUAUAUAUGAUAAAAAGGAAGUGAGUCAUCAUUCAGCCCCCAUUAGAGGAUCUGUAGUGCCUCAUUAUCCUGCAUUUGCAUGGAGGAGUAUGUGAACAAAAAGAGAAGGCAUUGGACUGAGAAGGGAGGAACACUGAGCAGAGAAAAGUGAUGGUUUAAAACAGCAGGAAAGGUCCUUCAUACAGUGUAUUUCACUCCUGAUACCAUGUGUUUUCCUCAACAAAGUUCCAGUUUAAGUAUCAUAAUUUUGAACAGGUAUUUUAUUAAUAAGCAAAACACUCAUAUAUGUGCAACAUCCAUCAACUGAACUUAAUCUUAUCUCACUGAACAAGCUAACUGACAGGCUUGUUCUCAAGCAUCUAUUCGUCUUGAAGAUAAAGUAAAUUGCAUCAUCCUGGAGGGUGGGUGUGCAAAGGGGGCUGCAAAAUAAAGGAGAAGAGGAGCCAUAUGGGUGCGUGCAAGUCGAGAAAAUGGAGGAGUGGGAGGGAAGAAAAAGGAAGUAAGGUGAAAAUGGGGGUGCCGAGGGGAGUUGCAAGAAAGGGUGGAAUAGGAAACAUGGGAAGCAUGGGUAUGAGGGUGAAGAUGAAAGCUGGGGUAUGAAAGGGGUUGCAGAAUAGGGGGAGAGUAGCUUCUUAACUUGACAGAAGAUGGAAAGAGUGCUUGGUAGUUUCAGUGUGUGGGAGGAGGAAGAUGUUGUAGGUUACCAUGGGGGUGGUUUCUGUGCAAGGAGGGGAUUGCACAAAAAGCAGAGUUGAGGAGCCAUGGACAAUGGGGGUGAAGGUGCAAACAGAGCUACAGAACAGAAGAGAGAAGUGGCUUCAGCAAUGCAGCUGUGAAGAGAGAAAGAGAGCUUAGCAGUUGCAUGGGGUGGGAAGGGGAAACUCUGGGGCUUUAAUGCAAGUGCGGGGGUGUUGGUGUUGGCAAACGGAGUGAGGACAACACCACUAAUAGCCAUGUAAGACCUCCUGCUACAGUCCAGGAGUGCUCCAUUUCCAAACUACCUAGGCUGUUUGUGGCAACUAUGAUGCAGGUUGGCUACCCAUGGUUUAUAGAAGGCUUUUCUCAAGUAGUCAGCAGGGCUUACACACAUUAUCUCAUUAAUCCCUAUGGCACUCACUAAUUGCAGUAUUGCUACUGCCAUAUUAAAGAUGUAAGACUGAGGCUUAGACAUGAUGGCUUGCCAAAAGUCAUCUACUGACUGCGUGGCUAAAGUGGUAUUUGAAGUGGAAACAUCUCAGCUCCUAUCCACUAUGCUGACCCAGCACUAAUAGUCAGAAAACUUAUUUUCCAUUCUGUUACAUUAUUUGGGCUGAUUUGAUUUCAUGUCAAAUACAGAGAAAGUGUGACAAUCUUUGUGCUCUAUUGGAUUUCCCCCACCCCAAAUACAGCCCAAUUCUAGAUUGUAUAUCUAGCCACUGUGUGCUGAGUACCAUAUUCUUAAAAGUAUUUGUAAAUGUUAAACAAACUUUCAUUGUUCUCUAGAAGAGAUGGUUUCCUUGAGAGAUUUUCUUAUAGGGUAACAUUUUAGGCCCUUUAUUUUUCAGUAUAGAUUUUUCUUCUUCUUUCCAUAGAAGUUGUAAUAAGAAAGUCUUUGAUGAAAAUUUUCCUUAUCAGUCCCACAUUCCAUUGCUGAUUAGUAUCUCUUAAAAGGAUUGCCUUGUCAACACAAAUACUGGCGAAGAAAUUGUUGAGUAGGAAUGGAGUGGGCAAUGUGUAGCUUUUCUUCGGAAUAUCUUGGGGGGGGUGUCAUUACUAGUUCUGUUCCUGAUAGGUUUUGCUUGUAACAAAAAUGUAAUUUUGAUGCUUUGUGCCUGGUAGAUUUCCAUUCCACAUCCCAAUACUAAGACCCUGAAACUUUAGGGAGGAGGGGCACAUCAUAGGGGGAAAGUGAUACCUCAUAGGUUGAGAACAGAGGAUUGCUGUGCCUGUUGACACAAGUGCAACCUAAGAAACAGAGGGGAAGAGCUUGGGGCAAAAGAAUGUUCAGUCAAGCAGACAAUAGCUUGCCCAUGUUUCUCACUCCUCAUGCUGAGAAGUUAUCCCUUUUCCAAAGAGAUCCCAAGCUAAAACACUGGUGCCAAACUGGCGAAUGUCAGCUACAGUAGACUGGCAAGACUAUUGGAACCACCAGAUAUGGUCCAUUGCUUUAAUGGGAAAAUCAACAAAAUACACCCAAAUCCAUUAGAAUUCGAAAAUGAAGGGCAACUUUCCUAAAGAUUGGCACCUGCUUAUUUACUACAUUAAAGUAAAGGAAUAUGAUUGACAGCCAUCUUCUUAUGGAUUCCUAAUUGUCUGAAAUUGUAAUGCUGUUUUUGGAAUACUCCUCUCCCCAGUAUCCUUCCUUCCUUUUAUUUUAUUUUGUUGCUUUGAUCUUUCUCUUUCUCCUUCUUUAUUGUUUUGACUGCGUUUUAGCCAGUGAAGACAAUACUGAAUUAAAAGGACCAAGGAUCUGCCUUAGUUUAAGGCAACUUCCUCUCUACCAAGGUUAAGGAUUGAGGUUUGGGCCAAAAAUCUCAGAUUAUACAGAAGCAUGUUGGAACAGAACAUCCAUGGAGAUUCUCCAUUUGAAAAUUUAAUCAUUGCAUUAGUCUUGUGAGUGGUUGAUGCAAAAAAUUGGUUGUUUUGUUUCUCUAAUAAUCUGUGGGUCAGCAACUCUGCCUUCUACGAGCAGAGCUGCUGUUUGGACUUGUUCCCUUCCAUUCUUCCUGAUAAGAGGGACUUCCCCCGCCCACCUUACCUUCCAGGCAGCCAUAGGUAACAAAUGGGUCUCUCCCCCCCCCAAAAAAAACCCCCAACAACCUGCCAACUGGUAAUUGUGUGUGUGUGUUGGGUGUUGUUGGUGCAUCAGGCCCUUGGACUGAGUCUUGCUCAGGACUACCUCAAACCUGGCAGCUCUGGUUUUCAUAAGCCAGGCUCCUGGCCAUUGCGCUUAUUGCAGGAGUGUGCAUGAUGGACACAUGAAGAAAAGGCAGUCAUGGUAAUGCCUGCAGUAGUAGCAUUAUAUGAAAAUGGAAAAUACGUAAGCAUCUCUGCCAAAGACCUGAAAUUAAGCAUUCUAUUUUUAAAAAAUGUUCAAAUAGUUAAAGUAUGCUGAAAGCUCAGGGCAUGUUUAACAAGCAUGUUGGUGGUGAUAAAUUACAAGUAUGCUUAAUUGCAAAAAGAAAUUACAACAAGUC
rnacentral:lncRNA from 1 species